GUCCUUUAGAGUUUAUUAUUUAAGGUCUAGCCUGCCCACUGAAUUUUUUUUAAAUGGCCGCAGUAAAUUGACUGUGCAAAGGUAGCAUAAUCAUUAGUUUUUUAAUUAAAAGCUUGUAUGAAUGGUUUGACGAAAUAAAAUCUGUCUCUAAAUAAUAAAAAGAAUUUAAUUUUUAAGUUAAAAAGCUUAAAUUUAAUUAAAAGACGAGAAGACCCUAUAGAUCUUUAUAUUAAAAUUAAUAAUUUUAUUAAAGAUUUUUUACAAAAUUAUUAUUUUUAUUAUUAUAUUGGGGUAAUAGGAAGAUUAAAAAAAUUCUUUUUAAUUUUAAUCAAUAAUAAUUGUUUAAUUGAUCCUUGAAUUAAGAUAAUAAGAUUAAGUUACCUUAGGGAUAACAGCGUAAUUUUUUUAGAGAGUUCUUAUCGAUAAAAAAGUUUGCGACCUCGAUGUUGGAUUAAAAAUUAUUCCAGGUGUAGGAGUUUGGAAAUUUUGGUCUGUUCGACCAUUAAAUUUUU
rnacentral:rRNA from 1 species